GGGAAGCUGGCUCAGUGGUAGAGUGCUUGCCUUGCAUGCAUGAGGCCCUAGGUUCAAUUCCUCAGCACCACA
rnacentral:tRNA from 1 species